rnacentral:rRNA from 1 species
GAAUUCGCCCUUAGAGUUUGAUCCUGGCUCAGGACGAACGCUGGCGGCGUGCUUAACACAUGCAAGUCGAACGAGGAUCGGAAGGGAGCUUGCUCCCGUCUGAUUCGAGUGGCGGACGGGUGAGUAACGCGUGAACAAUCUGUCUCAUACAGGGGGAUAACGCAUCGAAAGAUGUGCUAAUACCGCGUAGGACCACGCUGGGGCAUCCCAGAGAGGUGAAAGGAGCAAUCCGGUAUGAGGUGAGUUCGCGUCUGAUUAGAUAGUUGGUGAGGUAAAGGCUCACCAAGUCAACGAUCAGUAGCCGACCUGAGAGGGUGACCGGCCACAUUGGGACUGAGACACGGCCCAGACUCCUACGGGAGGCAGCAGUGGGGAAUAUUGGGCAAUGGGCGAAAGCCUGACCCAGCAACGCCGCGUGAAGGAAGAAGGUUUUCGGAUCGUAAACUUCUGUCCUAUAUGAAGAUAAUGACGGUAGUAUAGGAGGAAGCCCCGGCUAACUACGUGCCAGCAGCCGCGGUAAUACGUAGGGGGCGAGCGUUGUCCGGAAUGAUUGGGCGUAAAGGGCGCGUAGGCGGCCGGAUAAGUCUGGAGUGAAAGUCCUGUUUUCAAGAUGGGAAUUGCUUUGGAUACUGUCAGGCUUGAGUGCAGGAGAGGUUAUCGGAAUUCCCGGUGUAGCGGUGAAAUGCGUAGAGAUCGGGAGGAACACCAGUGGCGAAGGCGGGUAACUGGACUGCAACUGACGCUGAGGCGCGAAAGUGUGGGGAGCAAACAGGAUUAGAUACCCUGGUAGUCCCAGCCGUAAACGAU